rnacentral:lncRNA from 7 species
UACAGAAGAAUGCUCCACACAGGAAGUACACGGGAAAAGAAGCAAAUCCAACACGAAAAAGACACAUGCAAAUACAAGUGAAUUGGCUUAGAGAAAGAAUUGUUACCAAGGUCCACUGUUGGAAAUACAUCUGAAAGAGAUAACCUUGGAAGCUGGUCACCUGAACACAGUGAGAAAAAGGGUGUGAGAAAGGAAGGACCUGAUCAUCCAUCAGAUGGAAUCCAGACGUGACAAUUAGAGUUAAUGAACCAUGACCCAAGAAGCAGUUUCUGCACUUUACAAUCCUACUUCAUGGCCUCAGUAAAACUUACAGGGCUUUUUUUUUUCCCACAGAACACAUCUGCUCCAAAUUCUAAAGGGAGAAACUGGUUUCAGAAGUUACAUUUGGUUUCCUCCCUACUUUUCAGUCAUGUAUGAGAGCAGGUAUAGCUAAUGAAGCAGUGCCUCUUUUUCCCCAAAGUCCAGAAGAUCUACUGAACUUCUAAUCCUGAGGUGGAAUUGAUCUUUCUUUCCCUACGAGCAAAGUAUUCCUGCAGUCAGAGCCUCUCAAUAGUUUCUCAGAAUCACAAAAAUUCAUCCAUUUGGUCUUUUGCUACUAUUUGGAAUGAAGGAUUGAAAUAGGGCCAAACAACUCUUGGUGGUUUUCUUCCCAUACCAGACGCACCUUUUCUUGGCCUCCUCCAAAGAUGUGUUACCAAAACCAUAACAAUUCACUAUGAAAUCUGCUACCUAAAUUACAAUUGCUUUUUGGUUACAGUAGUGAAUUCUAAAAAAGCUUUUCCAGCAGCCCUGGUCAGAAAUCCACAAAGGAUACCUAGUGCAGAGCAGGAAGAUCUCAAGAGUUUGGAGAUAUUGUUUCACAGUCAGCUUACACUCCAGUUCCCUCUUCUCACUGAGUUAGGAAGUGAUUGGUUGCAUCCUGCUUCUGGAGAAGACAAAGGUAUUUCAGCCAUUGGUACUCCAAACUCAAAGAAGACCAUUAUUAAGAAAUGAAAGUCCAACUUGGUCUUGUACAUGGAAAUGUCUGCAGUACUUCCAAGACUUCUUCAAGAGUCAAUGGGUCUCAUAGGAAUGGCUCACAGAGCUUUUUUUCUUACUGACACUGUCCUCAUACAUUCCAAUUUUUACAGUUAGUAUGGCGUUCUCUUCAGUGAAACUUGAGCGCACACACUCAUGCUGUGUCAUGAGAAUUUUCUAGUCCUAUCACUGAAUUCCUUUCUUAUAGCUUAUAGUAAAAUCAUUUCCAAAGGAGGAGAGGAGAAGAGAACAUUGCUGUUUUCUGUUCUAAUAUGAGCAUGUGAAUAAAUUAAAUGAUAUUUAUAUCUUUAUAGAAGGAGCUUCACAAUUUUAAAAAAUAAAAAAAGAUGAUCAGAAGAAAUGGAAGGAAAAGGUGUGGUAAGAGUAAAAUAUCUGAUAAG